CAGGACUUGACCACCAUGUUGGAGAGCUGCUCCACGCGGGGGCUUCGUCCGAUAAAGUACAUGAUGGUGAGGGGCUCCAGGUCCUGGGGAACGCAGCAGGGUGAUGCUGACGCUUCGGGGUUCAGCUUGUUGUACAGCGGUGGCAGAGGAGGCCAGUUUUUGUGGAUAAAACCGCAGCAAACCUGCAAAGAGAGCCUCCAGUUCCUCGCUCUUGUUAGGAACAAUGUUGUUGGUGGCGGGGACGAAGGUGCAGCAUGGACAGUGGACACCCAGCUUUAAGCCCAGAUUUUUCUCUGCCAGUAGAGAGAAUGAAAAGACACGCGUGAGAAGAAGAGCACAAAAGCGUUUCAAUGUGUGAAUACAAAUGAUUCCAACCUGGCUCCGACACCCAGUCCUUGACAGUUUCUGUGACGUCCACCGAGAGCCAGGCUCCCCUUGCUCGCGGCUGCACGGUGCGAGAGUCAAUGUAGCGCUGCGUGGACGUGCUCUCCUCGUCCGGCUUCAGCAGCUGACACGACACACACAUUCCCAUUGACAUUGUGCUCUUUCUGGUGUGUGUGUUUACAUUAGAAUUUCACCUGGGAGUGGUGAGAAAACAGCUUGAAGGAAUUGGCUUCUUCGCCCCCCCCCCCACACACACACACAAUUUUUCACUAUCUGCCAAACUUGUACUUGGUGUGACAUUUGUUUGUUUGUUUUAUUGUUGGUGCUUGUAUCGUCAUUCCCUCCUUCCUAAUCACUAUGUAGUAUUUUUAUAUAAUGGACCGUAUAGUUCACCAAAAUGUCCCAUUAAGAAAUCCCUACGUAGUGAUUAGGGAGCGGGGAAUGAUCACUCAUUCCCUACUCCCAAAUUACCAUAAAGAGAGAUUUUUAUAUGGUGAGCUAUAUAAUGGAGUCAUCAAGUGAAAAGCUGUUUUUCUGUGUGUUUUUUUGCUGUCAUCCAAUUACAAUGUCAUCUGUCAUGUUUUCCUAUGAAUUGUGGAAAGAAAUUUCCAAAAUUAGAAAGGAAUUGGAAAGGAAUUUCCUAUGAAUUGUGGAAAGAAAUGUUUACUUAUUUGAAAUGUGCAGGAUUAUGCAAAACCCACUUGACUAAGGGAUUUCCACAACACUUUGUGGCGUGGUUAGGAAGAAGCCAUUAAAUGUUAGUGCAGCUCCUGGAUUGGUAGUGUUAAGUGUUUGUCCUUGGCACAGGUCUGGCUCCUUUUCCACUGUGGAAAGGAGCCUCAUUUACUCAAUUGGAUGUAAAUAACACAUUCUAUGCUCAUAAACGUAGCAUGCAAAUGGAGGUGACUUGCUUCCCUGGGAAUUCUGAGAGGUGUGAAAUAUUUGCCCUCAGCCACAAAAGAAGUCACACAGCUGAUUGUUGACAUUCACAUCUACUUUUAGACAAAAUAAACACGAUAUAAAUGUU